CACGGGGGGAGCAAGCGUUGUUCGGAAUCACUGGGCGUAAAGAGCUCGUAGGCGGUUCGUCGCGUCGGCUGUGAAAACCCGGAGCUCAACUCCGGGCCUGCAGUCGAUACGGGCGGACUUGAGUGUUGCAGGGGAGACUGGAAUUCCUGGUGUAGCGGUGAAAUGCGCAGAUAUCAGGAGGAACACCGGUGGCGAAGGCGGGUCUCUGGGCCGAUACUGACGCUGAGGAGCGAAAGCGUGGGGAGCGAACAGG
rnacentral:rRNA from 1 species